AGUUGCAAUCAUGCCUUCUUUCAUGCCAUGUUUAGCCUGACCCCUUGUUCAAUAUCUUCUUUGGGAUGUGCAUUGUUCAAAUUCUUUUAAAACUCUGUGAAUCAACACAUACGAGAACCGACUAAACUGACCCGUGCAUCAUCGUUUUCUUUCAUCUGUUUUCAGGAAAACUUAAUUUCAUCUGGAUUAUGAGUAUCACUUGAGGGAGUCAUCCGUAAAGCUUCCAUGUAUUCCAGGUUGUGCGCUCGACUGUCAGAAUGGCCAUUUCUGAGCAGGGGGUCAUACAGCUGGCAACAACGCCAUGUCUUAAAAGCUCUUAAUCAGGCUGCUUGAUCCCGAGCCAAUCCAAGAGUUGCACUAGAGCAGCAACAGAAACAUUUCCCCUGCCUUUGUGGAAAGCGACAACCUUGCUGGCCUUAUCUUCAAGGUACCACCAAAAGAUCACUACCAGGGCAUCUUUUUCUUACCCCCCCCCCCCGAGUAAUGGUAUGUCAGAAUGACCUUGGGAGACAGAAGGAUGAACCAAAGCCAUGGGAAUGAUUGGAUAAGAAGCAGCUUAGCCUGCAGAAGGAAUGUGAGUAUGGCAAACAUCUCAGAAGACCUUCCUAAUGUCAUAGGCUGUAGACAUGGCAGCCCAAUGGAAAAUUCUAUUAAUGUAAUCUUGCAAUAAAGUAGAAUUGGCUCAUCUGG